GUUGAACGCUGGCGGCAUGCCUAACACAUGCAAGUCGAGCGGACGAAGGGAGCUCUUUCCUGGCUUCCGUGGGCGACGGACGAGUAAUGCAAACGAAUCUAACCGUCCUAUGAGGCUAACGUCAGUUCACGGGCCCUGAUCUCACACACGUUCUGAGAGUGAACCGCGUGGUUCUUCGGUCCACACGCUAUCUGCUGUGCCUAGGUCGGAUUAGCUAGUUGGUGUGGUAAAGGCCUACCAAGGCGACGAUCCGUAACUACGCUGAGAGGAUGACCAGUCACACUGGAACUGAGACACGGUCCAGACUCCUACGGGAGGCAGCAGUAGGGAAUAUUGGACAAUGGGCGAAAGCCUGAUCCAGCCAUGCCGCGUGUGUGAAGAAGGUCUUCGGAUUGUAAAACACUUUAAGUUGGGAGGAAGGGCAGUGAGAUAAUACCUGGCCGUUUUGACGUUACCAACAGAGUAAGCACCGGCUAACUUCGUG
rnacentral:rRNA from 1 species